UGCAUAUCAAUAAGCGGAGGAAAAGAAACUAACAAGGAUUCCCCUAGUAACGGCGAGUGAAGAGGGAAGAGCCCAAGAUUGAAAGCUGGCGUCUUCGGCGUCCGCAUUGUAAUCUCAAGAAGUGUUUUCCGCUUCGGACCAUGCCUAAGUCCCUUGGAAAAGGGCAUCAUAGAGGGUGAUAAUCCCGUACAUGGCAUGGAGCGCCCGAAGCUUUGUGAUACGCUUUCUAAGAGUCGAGUUGUUUGGGAAUGCAGCUCAAAAUGGGUGGUAAAUGCCAUCUAAGGCUAAAUAUUGGGGAGAGACCGAUAGCGAACAAGUACAGUGAUGGAAAGAUGAAAAGAACUUUGAAAAGAGAGUUAAACAGUACGUGAAAUUGCCAAAAGGGAAGGGUAGGAGGUCAGAGAUGCGUCUUGGGAUUCAGCCUUGCUUUUUGCAUGGUGUUUUUCCCAAGUUGCAGGCCAACGUCGGUUUUGGGCACUGGAGAAGGGUGGAAGGAACGUGGCACCUCUCGGGGUGUGUUAUAGCCUUCUACUGGAUACAGCGACCGAGACCGAGGACAGCAGCGUACUCGCAAGAGCGGGCCUUCGGGCACCUUUACGCUUAGGGCGUUGGCAUAAUGGCCCUCUACCACCCGUCUUGA
rnacentral:rRNA from 1 species